CCUACGGGGGGCAGCAGUGGGGGAUAUUGCACAAUGGGGGGAACCCUGAUGCAGCGACGCCGCGUGGGCGAUGGAGUGCUUCGGCAUGUAAAGCCCUAUCAGCAGGGAAGAAAAUGACGGUACCUGAGUAAGAAGCCCCGGCUAACUACGUGCCAGCAGCCGCGGUAAUACGUAGGGGGCAAGCGUUAUCCGGAUUUACUGGGUGUAAAGGGAGCGUAGACGGCCAGACAAGUCUGAAGUGAAAAUCCAGCGCUUAACGUUGGAAGUGCUUUGGAAACUGCCGGGCUAGAGUGCAGGAGGGGCAG
rnacentral:rRNA from 1 species